UACGAAGGGGGCUAGCGUUGCUCGGAAUUACUGGGCGUAAAGGGCGCGUAGGCGGCUUAUCAAGUCAGGCGUGAAAUUCCCGGGCUCAACCUGGGGGCUGCGCUUGAUACUGAUUGGCUUGAAUGCGGGAGAGGAUAGUGGAAUUCCCAGUGUAGAGGUGAAAUUCGUAGAUAUUGGGAAGAACACCGGUGGCGAAGGCGGCUAUCUGGCCCGUAAUUGACGCUGAGGCGCGAAAGCGUGGGGAGCAAACAGG
rnacentral:rRNA from 1 species